UUGGCCAAUGAAAGACUGCAUUUUCUCACUUCCACUGAAGUUACUGGUAGCCAUGGGUUAAAUUCCAACCAACAAAGAAUUUAUUAGUAUUGUGGAUAAUUUCUUGUGCCUACCAAAGAAAAGAAGGCUCGUAGCAGCAUUGAACUUUCUUCCCCCUUGAAAUUGGGCAAGACCAUAGUCAUACACUGGCAAUGAAAUAUGAGUAACAGCUGUUAACUGUUGCAAACAGACAGUUAAAAGCUGAUAUGUGAAUUUCCUGCUCCCUUGGUGGCCUCCAUUCCAAAACGUGGAGCCUCUCUCAGCCUGAUCCUGGAAAGCAAAUGAGCCCACUACCUUUUCUGCCCAGGAAAGUUGCAACUAACAUAUGAGGAAUGAAUGAAGAAAUAAAUCAUCAUUGUUCAAACCACCGAGUCCUGGGAAUUGUCAGCUACUGAUUCAUAUUGAGAAUAGCUGAAUCUAAAAUGAAUGUGAUGAGAAACUUACAAAUACAAUGCAGGACCCUCAGUGGAGAGCAAAUAUAAGACUUUGAAAGGUGGAGAGAGAGGGUCGCUGAGUUGAAGAUCUUAGGACAACGACUGAGGAAUAGCACAAAGAUCCCCAGAACUUGAUCACUUUUAAAGGAAAGUUUGGAACACAUGCAUACAUAUGUACAAAUGGUAACUUAUGUACUCUGUUCCAGUGGUAAAUUCUGGCACAUGUAGAGGAUGUCCCAAACUGCCCCCAGGUAUUACGAAGGACUGAGAAUCCAUAUUUGGAGGCAGAAGCCUAUCUUCAAAGUUCUGGAGGCUGAGGAGUUCAUGAGCAAGUCCACCAACAGAUUUCAUGUUCCUUAUAUAUUGUACUUUCUACAUGUGCUCACAUGCUGGAAGACAGACCAGCUCCCUUAGGCCUCUUUAAUAAGGACAUUUAUACCAUUCACCAUGGCAGAGCCCUUGUGACCUAGUCAUUCCUAGAAGACCCACCAUGUAAUAUUAUUGCCUUGGUAAUUAUGUUUCAAUAUAUGAAUUUUGAAGGGACAUCUAUAUUCAGACCAUGGCAUGUAUCUAUAGCCAAAAGUAAUGAAUCUUUUUUACAAAUCUCACAGUUGCUAUAAAAAUGAACUCAAAUAGAUUAAUUUAUAGAUUUAAAUAUAAAAUGUAAAAGUUUACAACUUGUAAAAGAAAACAUAAAAGUCUCUAGGACAUACAGCUUAGUGAAGCUUUCUUAAGAUGCCCAAAGCAUGAUUCAUAAAAUAAAAAUUUGGUAUAUUAGACUAUAUCAAAGUGAAAUAUUUUUUUUCUCUGAAAAAAGAUUAUUUAAGAAAAUAAAGAUAAAGUAUACCUUGGGAGAAAAUAUUUAUAAACCACAUACCUAACGAAGUACUUAUCUACAAUAUGUAUAAAAGACUCAAAAGUUAUCAUUGAAAAGCAAAUCAUCCAAUUAGAAUACAGGCAAGAGACAUGGAUAUUUCACUGAAUCAGAUAUGUGGUUGGUAAAUAAGUACAUGAAAAUAAGUUUAACUUUACCAGCCAAUUCCUACGUUAGUUAAUUAUUUCCUACACAGCCAUAAAAUUAUAUAUACACAAUUUAUUAUAGCAUACAUGAACAACAAUACUUACCACUUACCAAAAUAUUUCUAAAGCCAUUGAUAUCAUUUUUUUCUAAAUACUUGUUUUUCUUAUGGAGAAAAUAUUCAAAAGCAAAAUUUCAUGGUGAUCGUGAUUCAGUGUUGUCCCUUCUGUAUCACGUUUUCUACCUCGUUGUCCCUAUUCAUUUUCUCAAUUGCAAUGAAAAAUGUUAAUUAACAAACCUAAAAUCCAUAAGGUAAAAUGAUAUCUAGGUAGGAGAGCUGGCUUCUCCCUAGAAGUUGUGUAAAACCCCUAGCUCUGUUUUUGUUUGUUUAAUUUUUUUGUUCAUUCUUGAAGAUUUCUUUCAUUCAGGAAUAUUCUAAUGGCAAUAUCUGUUCCUUCAUUCUGAUAUCAGUACCAUGAGCUAAGCAGGUCACUGUCCUUAAGGUUCACUUAUGGCACCUAUAUCUGGGAUUCCCCCAAUCCAUUGAUGUUCCUGGACUUCCAGGGAGUGGUAUUCUUCACCUCUUCACAUGAACGUCCCCACCCACCUUCCUGAAUAGACACACAGCUGGCAAAAUGUACCUUGAAAUGUGUUAUUUUUGACAUGAUCAUUGUUUAUAAGUAAGAUCCAUAACAUAGAUAUGUGACAAUACCUUUUAUAUAACUUAUGUAUAAUAAAAAAGUAUAACUUUCAA